GACUACUGGGGUAUCUAAUCCCAUUCGCUACCCACGCUUUCGCUGCUCAGUGUCAGGAGUGUGCUAAUCUAAUGCCUUCGCCUUUGGUGUUCCUCAUGAUAUCAACGCAUUUCACUGCUACACCAUGAGUUCCAUAGAUCUCUCACACCCUCUAGCUAUGCCGUUUCAAAUGCAGUUUCGGAGUUGAGCUCCAAGAUUUGACAUCUGACUAGCAUAACCACCUACCAGCUCUUUACGCCCAAUAAAUCCGGAUAACGCUUGAGGUCUCUGUAUUACCGCUACUGCUGGCACAGAGUUAGUAACCUCUUAUUCGUAAGGUACCAUCAUCGAAAUUUUUCCCUUACAAAAGCAGUUUACAACCCAAGGGCCUUCAUCCUGCACGCGGCGUCGCUCCAUCAGGCUUUCGCCCAUUGUGGAAUAUUCUCGACUGCAGCCCCCCGUAGG
rnacentral:rRNA from 1 species